UCCGCUAAUAUAUCGCCUCUCAAAAAACUACCGACGUCAUGUUCACCUUUCGUUCGAUAAGUCGAUACAGUCAUAAUCGCGACAGGAAUAAGUGUGAGCAAUCUGUGUUCCUCCUCUAUGUGUGUGUUUUUGCAUAAAAGGCUCUUUUCAAUCUAGCAUCCAUCGCCUGACGUGUCUGUGGUGAUUUCAAAGGUGUGCCUACCAACAAAAGAGAAGCAAGUCAUGCUUUCCCCUCUCUCUGCCCUUCUGGGAAUGACUGGGCUGCAGCCGAGAUGGCUGAAAUCACAUUAUUUUGCAGGAAGUAGUCCAGCCCUGAGCCGUGGCAAAGCCAGGCAGCUAAGCUGAAUAAGCUCUGAGGAGUCGGCACAUUAGUGCAGCUCACAUGGACAUUGGUGAUAUUUGUGCAUGGUGUUGCCCGCGUGUCUCUCUUGUUUAUUUCAAUUCAGGUAAGAUGCAAGAAGCCGUUAAAUCCCAAAAGCAUCUUUGUCAGCUACGCUCUGCAUGAGCAAAGCUGUAAAAGCUCAGUUCGUUGAAGCUGAUUCGAGGAGCGAGGCCACCAACCCUUGCGCUGGCUUAACAUGAGGGCACCUGACGGCUCUGCGUACUAACAUGUAGGUCUGGGUCGUGCUUCAUGGAUUGCAGUGUUCGUAUCUGCUUCGAGGAGUCGCUAACAGGAUUAGGAUGCUGGAAUGAGAUGAGGAUUUAAUCAGGUGAAGUGCAAGAUUGAUGAUUAUAAGGUCGGACGGUUUUAAUAAAACGCAAGAUGCUUUCACGUCACAAAAAGAUUGUCGUGUCAGUCCGGCAGACUGAUUGUUAAGUGAGUAUUGUCGGAUGUUAUGAGCUCAUAAGCGCUUUAAUGACUGCCGAAGUCUGGAGCUGGGCUUGAUCUGAUCCCUGUGGAUUAGGAUAUAUUUUCUGGCUGGCUUUUUGGGAGAAAACCAAAUUCUGAGGGAGAUGCUUGUCAGGAUGAUGUGUCUGAUCCUAAAUUGAAACACCUGUGUUGUCAUGCCUGUUAAAAGCUGAUAUACUUGCACAUGUUCGGGGCCCAAUCAUAUCAGCUUUGGAAUGUAAAAGUUUUGAAAUAAAAGUUUUAGUUUCUUUUUUUUU